UAGUAGGUCUGGCCUGCCCAGUGAUAAAAUUUAACGGCCGCGGUAUAUUGACCGUGCAAAGGUAGCAUAAUCAUUAGUCUUUUAAUAGAAGGCUGGAAUGAAAGGUUUAACGAGAAAUUAACUGUCUCAAUUACAAACUUGAAUUUAUCUUUUGAGUCAAAAGACUUAAAUAUCAUUGUGGGACGAGAAGACCCUAUAGAGCUUAACAAUCUUUUUUUUAUAUUUAUUUAGUUAAAUUAUUUAUAUAUAUUGAAAAAAUUGUUUUGUUGGGGUGACAAUAAAUAUAUAUUUAACUUUUAUCAUAAUAUAAACAUUAAUUUAUGAUUUUUGGAUCCAAAAAUUUUGAUCAAUAGAUUAAGUUACCUUAGGGAUAACAGCGUAAUCUUCCCUCAGAGUUCAUAUUUACGGGAAGGCUUGCGACCUCG
rnacentral:rRNA from 1 species